UACGAAGGGGGCUAGCGUUGCUCGGAAUUACUGGGCGUAAAGCGCACGUAGGCGGCUCGUUAAGUCGGGGGUGAAAUCCUGGAGCUCAACUCCAGAACUGCCUUCGAUACUGAAGAGCUCGAGUCCGGGAGAGGUGAGUGGAACUGCGAGUGUAGAGGUGAAAUUCGUAGAUAUUCGGAGGAACACCAGUGGCGAAGGCGGCUCACUGGACCAUUACUGACGCUGAGGUGCGAAAGCGUGGGGAGCAAACAGG
rnacentral:rRNA from 1 species